AAAACUGUGUUUGGUAAAGCCUGGAGCUCAACACUGAGUAAUUCAGAUGGAGUAGCUCUGGCUGGGGGGUGGGUUUGGGUUGGGUGGAGCUCAGCUGAGGGAGUGAUUAGUAAUGAGCAGCACCUGGGGCUGGAGGUAGGCAGUCACCUCCCACAGUUCCCUCUGCCUGGCCCCGAGGGAGGAGGCUGGAUGAUCUUUCUGGAUGGCUGUAAAGCUCUCCUGUAUAUUACUGCAGCACCCACAGUGCUUGGAUGGGGUUCUGCAGAGUCACCAUCAGUUCCUGUGCAUCACUUGCAGCAAUGUGGUCCAUCAAGUUGGUGUGGUGACCUGCUGGGCUGGCUGAAGACCAGGUCUUUUGUUCUGGACUUCAGGAUGCUGAAGGUCUGUGGCAGAUCUGUUCUGUUGUGCAGAGGGCCUGUGCGUGUGCCUGGGGAGAGUAAAGGUUGAUCUUCCCAGUUGGGGAGUUGCUACACUGUGCUGAAUUUGAAAGAAAACUGAUUGCAGCAGCUGUGAAUGUGGAAAUAAUUAAAAGAAAUGAUUUAUACCUGCCCAAGUUCGUUCUUAGGUAUAGGACAGUCAGUGGAGUUCACUGAGAAUCUUGGUGGUUGCUUGUCCAUGCUACAGUAUGAGUAAUCUAUUUAUCACAGCAGCAUGUUUCUGGUCCUUCUUGUAAGUAUCCUGGACAAAAUGUGCCAGCUAAACUGUGCCCAGCAAGAAUGGGGGAAGAAGGAAAGAGGAAGGAAAAAAGAAAAACCCUCGAAACCUGACCUGACUGUUAUGGGAGAUGAUUAUUAUAAUUCUCCGCUUGCAAAUUUCCCAUUUGUGUUCGGCAGCUUCCCACAGUCUCUCACUGUCACAUUCAUUCAAAAGCCAGAAUGGCAUUGAUGGCGUUCAGCGUGUUGGCUCGUUCUUCCCAGUUCUGCCUGGAGACUGGGUGUACAGUAUGUAACGGAAACCUUCCACCGAAGUUCUGCCCUCCCAGUCAUCCCUUUUUCAAUUGAAAACUCCUCUUAGACUUUCCUCAUCCUCCUUUUGUCCUCAGUCAAAUGUGUUUUGAAAACAAA
rnacentral:lncRNA from 1 species